AAAAAGAGAAACCAUGAGUUUCCGUGCCAAUGUUUAACUGUCCGUCUUAUUAAAAAAAACUAUAAUUAGUAUUUUCAUUGUUGUUAGAUGAUAAAACAUGAUUAAUACUUUAUGCGUGACUUAUCUUUUUUUCAUAAUUUUUUUAAAUAAGACGGACGGUCAAACGUUGGAUACGGAAACC
rnacentral:pre_miRNA from 1 species